CCUACUCUUGACAUCCAGAGAACUUAGCAGAGAUGCUUUGGUGCCUUCGGGAACUCUGAGACAGGUGCUGCAUGGCUGUCGUCAGCUCGUGUUGUGAAAUGUUGGGUUAAGUCCCGCAACGAGCGCAACCCUUAUCCUUUGUUGCCAGCGGUCCGGCCGGGAACUCAAAGGAGACUGCCAGUGAUAAACUGGAGGAAGGUGGGGAUGACGUCAAGUCAUCAUGGCCCUUACGAGUAGGGCUACACACGUGCUACAAUGGCAUAUACAAAGAGAAGCGACCUCGCGAGAGCAAGCGGACCUCAUAAAGUAUGUCGUAGUCCGGAUUGGAGUCUGCAACUCGACUCCAUGAAGUCGGAAUCGCUAGUAAUCGUGGAUCAGAAUGCCACGGUGAAUACGUUCCCG
rnacentral:rRNA from 1 species